rnacentral:rRNA from 1 species
UACGACUACAUAUCAGGCAUAUCAAUAAGCGGAGGAAAAGAAACUAACUAGGAUUCCCUCAGUAACGGCGAGUGAAGCGGGAAGAGCUCAAAUUUGAAAUCUUCAAGGUUCUACCUUGACGAAUUGUAGUUUAAAGAAGUGUUUUCUGUUGGAGUUUUGGUAAAAGUUCUUUGGAAUAGGACAUCAUAGAGGGUGAGAAUCCCGUAUUUGACCAUUAUUUUCAGCUGUGUGAUACACUUUCAAAGAGUCGGAUUGUUUGGGAAUGCAGUCCAAAAUGGGUGGUAAAUUUCAUCUAAAGCUAAAUAUUGGCGAGAGACCGAUAGCGAACAAGUACCGUGAGGGAAAGAUGAAAAGAACUUUGAAAAGAGAGUUAAACAGUACGUGAAAUUGUCAAAAGGGAAGCGUUUGACACCAGUGUUGUUUUCUCGAAAAUCAAUUAAAAAAAGUUGGAUUUUGUGUUGUAUUGACCUUAACAGCUUGCUUCACUCUUUUCCAGCUUUUUUUAAUGCACUUUUCGUUUAACAAGUCAACAUCAGUUUCUUUUGUUGUAAAAGGGUCAUUGGAAGGUGGCUUUCUCUUCGGAGAAAGUGUUUAUAGCCUUUGAUCUCUGCAAUCGGAGAGACUGAGGUCUGCAGCGUAGAUCCUUCGGGGUUAGAUACAUUUGUGCUAAGCUACAGCUUUUCAUAGACAACUUGUUGACUAUGUUUAGUCUUGUGACUUACCCGCUUAUGCUAUUUUACCUACGCUUAGGAUGUUGAGCGCAUGUCUCUCUCU